rnacentral:rRNA from 6 species
CGCGGCAAGACGGAAAGACCCCGUGAACCUUUACUAUAGCUUGACACUGAACAUUGAGCCUUGAUGUGUAGGAUAGGUGGGAGGCUUUGAAGUGUGGACGCCAGUCUGCAUGGAGCCGACCUUGAAAUACCACCCUUUAAUGUUUGAUGUUCUAACGUGGACCCGUUACCCGGGUUGCGGACAGUGUCUGGUGGGUAGUUUGACUGGGGCGGUCUCCUCCUAAAGAGUAACGGAGGAGCACGAAGGUUGGCUAAUCCUGGUCGGACAUCAGGAGGUUAGUGCAAUGGCAUAAGCCAGCUUGACUGCGAGCGUGACGGCGCGAGCAGGUGCGAAAGCAGGUCAUAGUGAUCCGGUGGUUCUGAAUGGAAGGGCCAUCGCUCAACGGAUAAAAGGUACUCCGGGGAUAACAGGCUGAUACCGCCCAAGAGUUCAUAUCGACGGCGGUGUUUGGCACCUCGAUGUCGGCUCAUCACAUCCUGGGGCUGAAGUAGGUCCCAAGGGUAUGGCUGUUCGCCAUUUAAAGUGGUACGCGAGCUGGGUUUAGAACGUCGUGAGACAGUUCGGUCCCUAUCUGCCGUGGGCGCUGGAGAACUGAGGGGGGCUGCUCCUAGUACGAGAGGACCGGAGUGGACGCAUCACUGGUGUUCGGGUUGUCAUGCCAAUGGCACUGCCCGGUAGCUAAAUGCGGAAGAGAUAAGUGCUGAAAGCAUCUAAGCACGAAACUUGCCCCGA